CAGGAAGGGAAAUGCAAAAUGGAUUCUGUCUUAUUGGUCCUCCCCUGAAGCACUAGGUCCAACUGUGACCCCAUGGGAUUAGCAGGGGGAGUUUUGUGACUUAGAUUCAAGCCACAAAAGCUCUCUCAAAUGCCGGAGACUCCACGGGGACCAGGCAGGGAACGGGGUGUGGCCGGAGAGGACUUUUUUCAUUAGUCCUGGAUCACACACAGGCGGUAAGGUGUCUGUGCCUCUGAAGCCAACCCGUAAUGCAUGAUCAGCACAAAGCCCUGAGCAGUGGAAGCUGACCUAACAUGACGCAAAGCCUGUUGACAAGGAAGCAGAGCGUGUUUCGUGGAAUAUGGAGUUUCACUAGUUGCCCUGGCUGCAGAAGACUAUUUUUAACCUGAAGAUUCCCCAGCCGAUUCUGCCUGCAGAUUCGGUCAGAGGAGAUUUCUGUCCCUAGAGGCAGAAAACUGCUGCAACUUGCCCUCCAAGAGGUGUGGACCAAAGAGGAAGCUGAUGAAAAUCUAACUGCCUGCCUCAAUGUCUCUUGAAAUGGAUGCUCCAAAGGAUGUUUUUACUUAGAAUCCCUAAUCAGCCGAUUUUUAAACAGAUUGAUUUGAGGAACAGAUGGACUCUGGAUGAAGCUGUAAUCCGGAGGUUGCCACUGAUUUCUGUUGACAGUUUUAAACCCCACCUAUUUGUCAACAGUGGGAACUCUUCUGGGGGAAUGCUCUGUUCCUGAAAGAGAAGAAUGUUUCCAUUCUGACCACCGAAUAAAGAGAGAAUGGAUCUAGGCAGGAGUGAUUUGACUGAAGUUAAAUAGGUUUUAAUAUAAAAAGGCUAGCAGAUUCCAAUGGAAGUGAAUACAGUUGGUCUGUAUUUACACACAGGGAUUAAGCAAACUAAUCCGAUGGGAGUCUGUGCCGGCGAUUGUUUGGGAGCAAGAUAGAUCCAUCUGCGUGUAAAGAAUUGUGAAUGAAUGAGGAUCUAUGGCUCAGUGGGCAGGGGGGGCAUGGGGGAGACCACCAGUCUGACUAAUCAGACAUUCACAUUUCCCACUGUUUUGUUCUAUUGUAUCCAAAUGUGAGAAGCUGCUCUCCAGUCCCCCACAUACAAAGCUCUUUAUUGGACUUUACUGUGGCAUGAUCCCGGCUGCUUUACUCCAACUGCCAGCCUCAGAAGGAGUUUUGCUUGAUGGUGUCUGGCAGCUUGGCUUUGCUUCAGUAGAUUUAUGAGCUGUGAAAGAUGGUCAAAUUAACACCCUAAGCGUUCCUGAUAGGAUUAGAGGCCUGCAUUAGCAUACCACCCUGAAGUACCACACUAUCUCUGUGUCUUCCCAGCCCUUCUGGGUGGGGUUUGGAGAGGGUAAGUGGGAGGUGAUGCCACACACCCCUCUCCCAGCUGGCAACACAAAGGGUCACCAUGUGAUUCCAGAUGAUGUUAUUUGGCAUUUAAUAUCUAAUGGCAGUGUCUCCCAAUCAAAAGAACUGAACUGAAGUGGUGAAUGCAUCCCUUUUCAGGGCUGGAUGCCCAUCCUUGCUCUCAUGGAGAGAAAGAGCCGUCUCGUCUUUGGGGUGAGAUUGACAAUCCAACCACCCUAACCAGGACUGGAGUGGACCUUAAAAUAUCCAUUUAAGUCAUAAUGAUUACUGAUUGUUCUGAUUAUAAUGGUAACACAUAUUUAUUGUAGAAAAUUUGGAAAAUGAUGAAAAAUACAGCAAAGUAAAAAUCACCCAUCAUCCCAUUACUUAGAGAUAGCUUGCCAUUAACAUUUUGGUGUAUUAAUUUAUUGAUAAUCUGUUUUCUAUGCAUGUAGACAGGUGAUUUGUUAUUUUUGCUUUAACAAAGUGGGAUCAUAUUGUUUAUCCUAAAUCUUUUAAUAUUAUAUCCAAUACAUUUUAAUAAAUUUCUUCUGCUGGGCGCGGUAAUCCCAGCACUUUGGGAGGCCAAGGCAGGUGGAUCAUCUGAAGUCGGGAGUUUGAGACCAGCCUGGCCAACAUGGUGAAACCUUGUCUCUACUAAAAAUACAAAAAUUAGCUGGGCAUGGUGACGCAUGUCUGUAAUACCAGCUACUUGGGAGGCUGAGGCAAGAGAAUCACUUGAACCUGGGAGG
rnacentral:lncRNA from 10 species